UUUACGACCCCGCGAGUGGACAAUGGGACCAAACCGGUUGCCCGCGGCCGCCGUUGUUGUGCAACCCUUUGCGCUUGACCGGUGCGCGCCGAUCGUCUUCCCAGCAAACCGGUUGCCCCGCCGAACGCCGCGCGCACUACAACACAGAGGGAUGAGCACGUCGGAUGUCCCCCACACACACACACACACACACACGUUGCCGUUCGUAAUAACAAUAUACACCCGGUUUGACACACACGCACGUCCGAGCCCGACUCGGUGUGGGAACCGCCGAGAAAUCCGGUCCCAGUCCGGCGCAGUCUUCGUUUCGUCUAUGGUCCGGGUCGGUCGUCGGCAGGAGAUAUAAUAUUAUAGCCCGUACCCAGAAAUCAAAACCUACCAAUUUAAACACACCUGAAUGCAGUGUCGAGAAUGUAGCUGUGAAUGUUACAAUGCAAUUCAUUGGGUUCCAGAAUAACUUUAAUGAUAUUCAAACAUUAAAAUAAUCGAUUAUGAUAAUAUUAUUAAUACAAUUGUCAUUUCUUAAACAUAACUAUUUACUUUAUAGUUUAUUUCAAUAAAAAUGUAUAGUAUAUUGUA